GGGAAUGCUUAAAUAACAUACAUGAUCGAUACGAUGCACACAAGUGCACUAUAACUAAAAGCAAGAACUACAAGUGGUAUACAAGUGUAUAAAGAGAGAUAGUCUAACUAUUACAACCAUUCAACAUUUACAUCAUUUGAAUAUAUUAUAUUUUCGUCUUCCAAAAUAUAAAUAUAUGUUUUCCUCAAAAUACAAGUAGCUCUCCAAUAACUAUCCAAAACAUCAUCUAGUACACGAGGGUACUCUAAUGCAUAAAGAAAAAGCUACUAACUAGGCUCACUUAGGGCGCUACGCCCUUGCCGCGGUCCUCGCUCGACUCGCCUCUGUAUGUACCUGUACUCCAAAACCACAUGGGGUAAGAACUAUAUAAAUAUAGUUCCCAGUGGGUUCGGCCGCCGACGCCGCCAGUUUUCCCACUAGGUCUAAGCUGGCACAGAUAGAGAGAUAGAUAGAUAUAUAGAUAAGAGUCAGCAACUACUAUAUCAUGCCAUCAAUGAUAAUAAUGCAUGCAACAACUACUAUCAUACUAGUAUCAUGUCAUGAGUAUAUAAAGGUGCAUAGCAAUGUAAUCUACAACAUACACUAUGUCUACUCAAGAUAAUAAUGCAAGUCUACUAUGCAUUUCAUGUUUAUUACCCAAUCUACUUGGUUAACCCGUAGGUUAAACCCUCAACUCACUCUCAAUCUCAUAGGUGAGGAGAAGCUGCACUCGCACACCGAGACCGUCUGCGGGACAACUACGUCUGCCCCUAGUGAAGUACUCCGAAGACUCGUGCCUCGGUGGAGCUACCACGCAAAAACAGAUUAGUGAGUAUGAUCCAAUCCUCACAAGAGGAUACCCUGUCUACUAGGGUCAAUGUGCCUCUGCUGCACAAUAUACAAUGCAUCCUAGAUGCUGGGAUCUCUACUGUCCCGAGAACCAUGUCAUGUUUACUACACUAGACUCGAUGCCACUCGUUCGAUCAUUGUAGUAAGUUUUCUACUAGUUGACAUGCCACUCGUUCAAGUUUAGUGUUUCUACUACACUAGUUAAAUGCCCCUCUACUAGGCUAUGUCCAAGUUCAUCACUUUUGCCACUAUAGGAUUCUUUGUAUCAAGACCCAAUCCUCAUGCCUCCCUAGUCCAAGUGUUAAGUCCAUACCAUUACACUACUAAGUAAGCAUGCAAGGAAUGAAAAUAUACUUCUACUAAUCCUAUAAUGCACAAUCAACAUAUGAUGAAUAAAAUUAACUUAGGCAUAAAAAGAAACCCGGUUGCUUCGGGAUGACACUCCCCACCUCUUGAGGGUAUGGAGGCUCUAGAAAUGCGCUUCGGCGUCCUUUACGACGAAGCCUCGGUCUUCUUGGUCCAAAUGAUGCUCAAUCAGCCUUAUUUUGCCGAUAGCCCUUGACCCGCUCAACGAAUUGA
rnacentral:lncRNA from 1 species